rnacentral:lncRNA from 1 species
GUACUAGAUCUGCUCCUGCUUGGAAUGAAUGUGGAGGGCAAAUGGAAAGCCAUGAACUCCAGUGUCUCUUCUAAGAAUGAAGAUCUUCGUAGUGAAUGGGACAUGUCAUCUGAUUCGAACAGAACUUCAAAGCAUUCGGUUCGUGGCUUUGUAGUGGUGGACGAGUCUGACCUUCUCACGUCUCCCGCUGUCAGCACACAUAGCAGGUAUAAGGACACCGGUGAAAAAAAGAUCCAGUCCACCACCUUCAAAUCAUCAGAGGAGAACUUCACCUCUCAAAAACUGAAAGCAGAUUUGGGUGGAGGCCGUCUUGAGCGGCUCCCUUUGAAGCCCUCUGGGGACAUUGCUGACCUGGAUUCUAUUUUGAAUGUGAAGACAUCAGCUGGUCAGAAGGAUCUGGUCAGGCCUACAGUCUAUCCUGAGUUAAACCAGCUGAUUGAAGAAGGUUUCUUACUUCCUUCAAAGGGCUUCAAAGUAGAUAAAAAGCAUUUGGUCAGUGUUCACUCAAAAAAAGGAUAUGAAUCGCUUGUAGGCAAAGGACAAGCUGACUACAAGCACUCAAGCAAGAAAAAAGUUGCAUUUAAACAUGGUGAUGUUAUGUUAGGCAUGGA